rfam:Ochotona princeps cont2.152317, whole genome shotgun sequence.
AAACAGCCUCCUUCAAAGGCAGCUUGACUGUAAUUCAUAGCAAAAGACUGGGGGAAAAGAAAAAAAUAAAAAACCACCAGAUCUUAGAAGCCUUAGAAGAUUCAUGGCAUUGAAUUUGAUACAGAUAGCACAGCACCUUGAAAACGAAUCAUCUGCUAGUUCAAUAUUUUCUACUCACGAUCACUCCCUCCCAGGGCAUGUAAUUAAUUUACUGAGUUUUUUGUAUU